rnacentral:rRNA from 1 species
UACAGAGGGUGCGAGCGUUAAUCGGAAUUACUGGGCGUAAAGCGUGCGUAGACGGUUAUUUAAGUCGGGUGUGAAAGCCCCGGGCUCAACCUGGGAAUUGCAUUCGAGACUGAAUAGCUAGGGUACGGUAGAGGGAAGCGGAAUUUCCGGUGUAGCGGUGAAAUGCAUAGAUAUCGGAAGGAACAUCAGUGGCGAAAGCGGCUUCCUGGACCAGUACCGACGUUCAGGCACGAAAGCGUGGGGAGCAAACAGG